GAUGAACGCUGGCGGCGUGCCUAAUACAUGCAAGUCGAGCGAACAGACGAGGAGCUUGCUCCUCUGACGUUAGCGGCGGACGGGUGAGUAACACGUGGAUAACCUACCUAUAAGACUGGGAUAACUUCGGGAAACCGGAGCUAAUACCGGAUAAUAUAUUGAACCGCAUGGUUCAAUAGUGAAAGACGGUUUUGCUGUCACUUAUAGAUGGAUCCGCGCCGCAUUAGCUAGUUGGUAAGGUAACGGCUUACCAAGGCGACGAUGCGUAGCCGACCUGAGAGGGGGGAUAGGCAAAACUGGAAAUGAGAACGGGCCAAACCGCAGACGGGAGGAAGAAGGGGGGAAUUUCCAGAAAGGGGGGAAAGCCUGAGGAAGAAAGGAGGGGGGAGGAAGAAAGUUUUACGGAACAAAAAACGUUUUGAUGGGGGAAAAAAAAAGGUGAAAGAAAAAAGGAACGUAUGGAGGGAACAAAACAAAAAAGCCACGGAAAACUACGUC
rnacentral:rRNA from 1 species